rnacentral:lncRNA from 1 species
UGAUGGGGGUUACCAGCUGAGAUUAGGAGUCUUGGGGGUACCCCUAAUUAUGGUCCCCGACAAAUAUUGAAUUACAAAUGUACCUUCGGCUUGAUAGAAGGUAAAAGUACAAGCGUGACGCACAAGCAAGUACAAGUCAGCGUGAACAGUACGGGGGUACUGUUCAUCUAUUUAUAGGCACAGGACGCAGCCUGUGAGAAAUUACAUUCAUGCCCUUUACAUUUAUUAUUAACUUAUAUACAAUUCUAUGAGGACUAGAUUGUCUUUUCCCCUUUAAGUCGGUUCCUUUUUCCUCUAUUUAUCCGAAGCUUUCUUGCACAUAGCUUCGGGAUUGAUUCGACCUUCGUCCCGAUCAUGCUUUCCAUAUUAUAUAUGCUUUUGACCCGAGUCCGAAGGUACCUGUUUACAUGUCACACUUGGAAAAUAUUGUUAAAUCACAUUUUUGAGGACCUUCGGAGGACGAAGGCUCCCAACAACUGCCAUCGCAGCAAAAUCAACCCAAUGAACUCCCUAUACUGACCACUCCCCUACUGCCCUUGUCCCUUUUGGGUAAGGUAGUCUUCCACUAGCUUUCAUAAUUAGUCAGCCAAGGGCGUCCCAUACCACCCUCGUGGUAGCACUGUUUUCCCGGGUGGUUCUCCAUGUUCCAAUUAACAUAAUGAUCUUAUCAUGCAUAGUAAAUAUCAAAUUGAUAAUGUAAGUAGGAUCAUGAAUAAUGUGUACCUCUAUACCCAAAACCACAUAUAGCAAUAGCAGGUACUACCAAAAAAUUCAGUGGUAAACAAGGUAUAAAGAUAGUCAAACUAGGGUAACCUAUUGGGUCCCAUCAAAAUUAACCUAUGCAGAUCAUUAUGAUUAAUAAGAGCAUGAUUGGAUAAAAAGAAGUGAUCAAGGGCACAACUUGCCUGGGACUUGAGAUUCCAGGUACCAACUUGCUCUUUAGGUGACUUGUAACCUCGCUGCUAGUCGUAGCAAUACAGACAAACAUGGUAUAGGAAAAAUUAACAUUACACCAAACAUAAUAACAAACUGCAUAAUAAUAUUCUACUCGUUGUAAUGAGAUCGUGGGUUCGAGAACCAUUAAAAUCAGAGUUAAAACGAAAAAGUUAUGGUAAAACAAUAUUUUUUUAGGUGCAAUAAAUCUACUAGAUGUUGUAUUUAAACUAAGCAUGUAUUAAGUUAAAAUAUCUGAGUUGAUAUUAAUCAAUUUAACAAUUAAUUUUAAUAAGCGUAGGUUACAACUAUAAAUUAGGUUAACUAGAUUGACUAGCUAAUUAACAUUAAUUAAACAAUUAAUUAAUUAAUGAAACCAUGUGGCAUAAUUAAAAUAAUGUUAUUACUAUGUACGCAGAAAUUAAUAUGAACCUAACACAACCUGAACAGAUUAAAACAAGUUAUUUGAUAUACAAAAUAUCACAUUUUUUUAAUAAAUUAGUAGGGCUGCAAAGAAAUAGUUGACAUGAUGGUGGAAAAUUACUUGUCGAAGUUAUCGCUAGAGUUCGGGAGGGAACUCGAAUUUCGAUGAGCUGGUCAUAGCGGCUUAUGGCUACGAGCUUGGCUGAGGUCAGUGACCGGCAAGGAAUCUUCGGCCCUCUCGUCUCUGUUUGCUCACGAAAAGGCCAUGGACAUCUUCUGCAUGCACGACCAGAGUUCGCACGACGACGCGGCUAACCCCUGUUCUUCUCUCUCUACUACUCUGCUUGGCUCUCAUCUCAUGGCGAUGGUGGUGCUUUGUGCUUCCUCUGAUGAUGGACAAGGGUCACG